GAAAUUCCUGGAGCCAAAGAGGUAAUUUUCAGUUAAUAAUAUACUUUCCCUCCUCUGUCCUUGAUUUCAUUGUUUGUUUGUUCCAUUUCGUAUUUGUAACAUUCCCUUGGUCAUUUCAUUGCGACACAUUAUACUUCUACCUAAAUCAUAGCAGCUUUGCAUAGAACAGCAUAUAGUUGUGGGAUUUUCAUAUUUUGCAAUCUAUGAUUCCUGUAUAAAAAAGGAAUCCUUGGUUACUUGUUCUAAUUCUACUGUCAAGACUUGGCUUCUGCUUUGUAUUACCAUAAAGAUAUUGGAAAAUUUGUCGUUUGCAAAUGUUACCAUGUAUGUUUCUGCAUUAAGGGCAUGCUCGGACAUAUGAAGGAAAUUAGCUAUUGCAUGUGUUUGAUACAACAUUUUAACUGAUGAAUUUGUGCAAGCAUAGCAUUUGAUGUAUGUAUUAAAUUGGGUGGAUCAUAUGUAAUGUAGAAAUGAUGUCUUCUGGAAUAACAUCAUUUUGCUAUUUGACUGAUUCUACUAUUUGGCAAUAAAAUGUAUCUGACUUGAGAAUCAUUUACUAUUUCUCUAACAAAUGCAACUGGUAAGGGAAUGUAUUUUCUUGCUUAUGAAAUAAGUUAAAAAUUAUUUCACUUUUAGGAUAAUGCUUUGCUUAUUUUCCUAUUCUGCUCAAAACGUUUCCUGACUCUUGGACAAGAUAUUUUUUGUAAUGUACUUUGUCUUGAAUAUGUAAUUUCUCUCUAAUUUCAGUCAUUGGGAAAGUGUGGCUUUCCAUGAGACAUCUAACAUCCUAUAACUCAACAAUUUGUUGGACAAAGCAAUUCUUAUACAUGCUCAUUGUUUACUUACUUUGGAUGUUUUUACCUUUAUUGGAUAAAUAUCCAUGCAUGUUUAAUAAAUUGAUAAGAUACUGGAUAGGUGUGAAUAUCUUUGUUUUUUAAUUGGUUAAGAUGAGCCUAUUGCAUCUCACCAUAUGAGGUGGCUAAUCUGUUAUUUUUCUUCUUUAUUGAGUAUUCACAAUGCUCUCUAUAGAUACUGGUUGUCAUGUGCUUGUUUCUGCAGGUUGCACUUGAGAC
rnacentral:misc_RNA from 1 species